GAUGAACGCUGGCGGCGUGCCUAAUACAUGCAAGUCGAGCGAACGGACGAGAAGCUUGCUUCCUUGAUGUUAGCGGCUGACGGGCGAGUAACACGUGGAUAACCUACUUCUAAUACUGGGAUAAUUUCGGGAAACCGUAGCUAAUACCGCAUCAUAUUUUCAACCGCUUGGUUCAAAAGUGAAAGACGGUUUUGCCGUCACUUAUAGAUGGAUCCGCGCUGCAUUAGCUAGUUGGUAAGGUAACGGCUUACCAAGGCAACGAUGCAUAGCCGACCUGAGAGGAUGAUCGGCCACACUGGAACUGAGACACGGUCCAGACUCCUACGGGAGGCAGCAGUAGGGAAUCUUCCGCAAUGGGCGAAAGCCUGACGGAGCAACGCCGCGUGAGUGAUGAAGGUCUUCGGAUCGUAAAACUCUGUUAUUAGGGAAGAACAUAUGUGUAAGUAACUGUGCACAUCUUGACGGUACCUAAUCAGAAAGCCACGGCUAACUACGUG
rnacentral:rRNA from 1 species